GACGAACGCUGGCGGCGCGCUUAACACAUGCAAGUCGAACGGAAAGGCCUGCUUUCCCUUGUGGAUUGCGGGUACUCGAGUGGCGAACGGGUGAGUAACACGUGAGUGAUCUGCCCCCAACUUGGGUAUAAGCCUGGGAAACUGGGUCUAAUUCCCGAUAGGACUGCAGGGUGGUGCCUGUGGUGGAAAACGAUUUUCUAGUGGUUGGGGAUGAGCUCGCGGCCUAUCAGCUUGUUGGUGGGGUAAUGGCCUACCAAGGCGGCGACGGGUAGCCGGCCUGAGAGGGUGGACGGCCACAUUGGGACUGAGAUACGGCCCAGACGCCUACGGGAGGCAGCAGUGGGGAAGAUUGCACAAGGGGCGGAAGCCUGAUGCAGCGACGCCGCGUGGGGGAUGACGGCCUUCGGGUUGUAAACUCCUUUCGACCGCGAGGAAGCCACCUGGUUGGAAGGGUGGUGACGGUAGUGGUAGAAGAAGCACCGGCUAACUACGUG
rnacentral:rRNA from 1 species